rnacentral:rRNA from 1 species
CCUACGGGGGGCAGCAGUGAGGAAUAUUGGUCAAUGGGCGCGAGCCUGAACCAGCCAAGUCGCGUGAGGGAGGACGGCCCUACGGGUUGUAAACCUCUUUUGUCGGGGAGCAACGGGCGCCACGUGUGGCGUCACUGAGAGUACCCGGAGAAAAAGCAUCGGCUAACUCCGUGCCAGCAGCCGCGGUAAUACGGAGGAUGCGAGCGUGAUCCGGAUUUUUUGGGUUUAAAGGGUGCGUAGGCGGCUCGUUAAGUCAGUGGUCAAAUUGAGGGGCUCAACCCCUUCCCGCCAUUGAAACUGGCGUUCUUGAGUGGAAGAGAAGUAUGCGGAAUGCGUGGUGUAGAGGUGUGAUGCAUAGAUAUCACGCAGAACCCCGAUUGCGAAGGCAGCAUGCCGGCUUCCGACUGACGCUGAAGCACGAAAGCGUGGGGAUCGAACAGGAUUAGAUACCCCAGUAGUC